UACGUAGGGUGCGAGCGUUGUCCGGAAUUAUUGGGCGUAAAGGGCUCGUAGGCGGUUUGUCGCGUCGGGAGUGAAAUCCACUGGCUUAACUGGUGGCUUGCUUUCGAUACGGGCAGACUGGAGGUAUGCAGGGGAGAACGGAAUUCCUGGUGUAGCGGUGAAAUGCGCAGAUAUCUAGAGGAACGCCAAAGGUGAAGACAAGCGACUGGGCCGAUUCUGACGCUGAGGCACGAAAGCGUGGGGAGCGAACGGG
rnacentral:rRNA from 1 species